CUAGGAAUCUUGGGAAUGGGCGAAAGCCUGACCCAGCAACGCCGCGUGGGCGAUGAAGGCCUUCGGGUCGUAAAGCCCUUUUGCAGGGGACGAUAAUGACGGUACCCUGCGAAUAAGCCACGGCUAACUACGUGCCAGCAGCCGCGGUAAUACGUAGGUGGCAAGCGUUGUCCGGAUUUACUGGGCGUAAAGGGCGUGCAGGCGGUUUGUUAAGUGCAGGGUGAAAGCUCCCGGCUCAACUGGGAGAGGUCCUUGCAUACUGGCGAACUUGAGGGAUGCAGAGGAAAGUGGAAUUCCCGGUGUAGUGGUGAUAUGCGUAGAUAUCGGGAGGAACACCAGUGGCGAAGGCGGCUUUCUGAGCAUUUCCUGACGCUGAGACGCGAAAGCGUGGGGAGCGAACCGG
rnacentral:rRNA from 1 species